GCUGGAUGUGGUGACGCACAUCUGUAGUCCCAGCUACUUGGGAGGCUGAGCCAGGAGAAUCUCUUGAGCCCACGAGAUCAAGGCUGCAAUGAGCUAUGAUCAGGCCACUGCACUCCAGCCUGGGCAACAAAGUGAGACCCUGUCUCAU
ensembl:misc_RNA Metazoa_SRP Metazoan signal recognition particle RNA